GUGUGUGUUUUGUCAUGAAUACCUCCUCUGGCUCCGUGGGCUCACGCACCUGUUGGCAAUCAGCUCAUCACUCCUCACCUGACCAUACACACCUGCCUGUCAUCAGCUCACCUUCCUGCAGUAUAUCUUCUCCAGUUCUCCAGUCAUUUGUCGCCAGAUAGUUGUUCACCCAUAGCGGACCUCAUCGCCAGCCACGCAACCGCCUCUCCUGUCCGCCUCACCAACCCUUGGCACCCGCCGUUUUGCCUUGCCACCGCCACUUUCCCCAACUCCCGUGUGAAACUGACAAUAAAGUCCACCUUGCCCGCAACA